CCCGCGCGCCGGAGGAGUCCGGCGAGCCGUUCCUUCUGCGGGAGGGGAGGUUUUUCUUCCAGUGUGGAUGCUCAACCACCCCUCCUCCCGGUGUCAAGAGCACGCGGUCCGCGCUGAGCUGCGGGUGUAGUCCAGAGGACCGGAGACCUCGUGUUCUGAGGGAGGAGAGACAGCUCACCGUCUCCAGCUGAGGAAGAGUAAGAUUUAAUAAACCUUGGGACUUCCCUGGUGGCUCAGCUGAUAAAGACUCUGCCUGCAAUGUGGGAGACCUGGGUUCGAUCCCUGGGUUGGGAAGAUUCCGUGAAGAAGGGCAUGGCAACCCACUCCAAUGUUCUUGCCUGGAGAAUUCCCAUGGACAGAGGAGCCUGGCAGGCUACAGUCGAUGGGGUUGCAAAGAGUAGGACACGACUGAGCGACUAAACACAUGGUCAGCUAUGGUGGAGCUUUACUCAGAAAGCAUCCUAAAUUCUGAAUCUGUCUUAAGAUGAUCACAUACUUCAACUUGAAGACUAAACUUGAAACAGACUACAGAAGACAAGGACUCCUUUACUCUAGACACAUAAGGUUUUAAUGAAAAUGACUGUGAAGUACAGUAAUCUAGCAACUAUGAGAGAUGUCACCCAGAAGAUGAGAAUGAUUAAGAGAUGCCACAUGUUGCUUUUCUUCACAGAGGACACAGAGGACUAUCCAAGGUGGCCUUCUCAUCCUCCUACUAUCCACCCACCUCACCAUGGGUCUGCAUCCUGAAUGAACGUGUUCCUCAAAGACUGUAACUCCCACACACCAAGCGGUAUCUGGCUGUGUGGGUGAGAUAUUCUCCAGCCUCUCCAAAGCUGUAUAGACAAGUCUGGCUGAAGUUACUGCUACCAUCAUUUGGGGCGUGCUGUUUGUUCCUACAGAAGAUUUUCCAUUCACUUCUUGCCUGGGAUAAACCUCUGUUGCCUAAGGAAGUAGACAGUGUGAGCCGGGUCCUGCCAUGAGCUACAGCCACAGCUUCCUCCUCCCGAGGGUCAGUGAGAAGCCUCCGAACUGCUCAUGUCAUGGGGGGAGAACAGUCUAAAAAACCCUAGGUCUUUUUAGGUUCUGUGUGACUCCACUCCAUGGACCCUCUGGUUUCUGAGACCGUCUCAGUUCUCCCUAGUUUUAGAUUAGUAGCCAUGGUUUCUAUAUAGGAAUGCAGUCUACCAUGUGAUGUGAUGUCCAUCUUUCCCUCAAGCAAGCCAAAAAGAAAAAAAAAUGGUGCAGGUGUUCUUAAGUUCUUAGAAAUUCUAGGAUUGAGCAAUGCCCUUCGUGGAUUGGCUGACCAACAGGAUAUGGGAAUUUAGGAAAGCUGCAAAUGAGGAAUCUUUCAUAUCAGAAAAAAACGGAUCUUGGACUACUGGCAGUGAUGGUAUGGAUGAGAAAGAAUGUAGUCAUUUCAUCCUUGACCAAGACGGUAAUAUCCUCUCUCGAUAAAGGGUUAUAGGCAAUGGAUUAACUAGUUAAUGGGUUAACUAAUAGAAGAAACCAGGGAAAUGUCCUAACAGAUUUACCAACCAUUAGGACUGCAGCAGUUGUAGCACCUGAAUGAAGUCCUUUUGAAAACUGACCACUCAAAGAUUGCUCCGUAAUUACCCCAUUUCUUUUCUUUGGGCUUCCUUUUCCUAAAUGGAAAUUGCUACUAAUGGAACUAAGGAAAAGCAUUCACAUCCUCUCUGGGACAAGACUGAAAAAGGCAGUCUCCCUUUCUUGAGUGGCGAGCGUGAUGGCCAACUACAAGUAUCAAAGAUGGAGAGCCACGGGUGGAGGGGGAAAGUGGACCAGCAGGUCUCAUGGACCUGCUUGCAUAUAUUCAUUUCCAUAGAUCCCAUUUCUACAGAGUUUUAAAGGGCUGGUGAUUUUAUUUUUAAAUGGUAAAGAAAUUCCUUCAAAGGUAUAAUCAGGAGAAGUCAGAGUUCUUCUGGGCAUGAAAGAUUGGCCCAGCCCUAGGACAGAACCAUUUACCUCGUGGGACCUUGUCUGGUUAGAGGAAGUCCUAACUGACUCCUGUGAGUGAUCUUCCUGCUUACUCAGGAGGGUGAGGCUUUAUUCACUUGGCUUUGGGGCUUAACCCAAAUCACUGACUCAAUGGACAUGAGUUUGAGUAGGCUCUUGGAGUUGGUGAUGGACAGGGAGGCCUGUUGUGCUGCAGUCCAUGGAGUUGCAAAGAGUCAGACAUGACUGAGCGACUGAACUGAACUGACGUGGGGCUUAACAGGAUAGAAUCCAGGAACUGACACUGCCAGCCUUGGCAUUAGUGGCUGCAUCAUUAGUGAAUUAUUUGACAUUUUAGCAGGCACUGGCAUGUGAAUUUGGGGUUUUAUAUACCAGAUAUCAAUAUUUUAGCAAUCUUUGUAAGAAGUCCUUUUCCUUUGCCAAAUAUUUGAGAGGAAAAAUUCUCCUGAAAAGUUAAAAUAAAAAAAUUUAAAGGAGAAAGCAACAUUUUAUUGCUUAAUGGAAGGAAGAAACUAAUCUGAAAGUUUGGACUUCUGGAGAAAAGUGCUAAUCUUUUUGAGUCCUAUUUUGCACAUUGCACAUUGCUAAUUCUUAUACCCAUUUCUGACUUGAGAUCUAAGUCUAAACUUAGACACUUUGAAUUACUCAGAUAAUGGAUGUGACUGUAUCUCCGUAGGAUGGCUGUGGUAUUUUGAGUAUAGUGUUGAAUUAUUUUGAUCAUUCAUGUUAAUACAUUCAUUCAGUGUAUUGUGAUGCUCUCUUUCUCAUCCACACUCAUGUUUCUCUGUGUCCUAAAGAACAUUUGUGUCUCAAGAAAUUAUCAUAGUUAUUUUUGUUGGAAGAAAGGAGCAUUAGAGGACUGUCUAUAGUCACCCUAAAUUUGAGAAACUAUGACUUAAACGAAAGUUACACAGAUUUCUUUGUGGAAAGACUUCUCCAAAGUCUUCAAUACACUACGUAUAUGCUUUGAAUCUCUAUCGCUUCCCUCUCUCUCUCUCUUUUUUUUUUUUUUGUGGUAGAAUAUCUGUUAAUGUUAUUCAGGAUACUUUUCCUAUAAGGAAUUUGGGAAAUACUACUCAGUUUAAGGAUUCAAGAUGCAGUUGGUUUAAUCAUAGCUAGAGGAUUUUGGCCUCUCACCAGAUGACUUGUGAAAGUAAAGCCCUAGAACAACUAUUAUCUCCUUUUUUGGAAGGUCAUAUGAAAGAGAGAUAUCUAUUUGUCUCACAGUGCAUCGUAUACCCUCUUAAAGGAAGAGGAAAAUGAUCCGGGGGACGCCUGAAGGGCCCUGUAAUUCUCUGGCUUUAGAAUGCAGACUUUUAGAACAUUUUAUCAAUUAAUAUACCUUUGAAAAGGUUAAACUAAAUCUUAAAAAGCGUCUUUGUUAUCCACUCUUUUGUAACAAUUUCUCCAACAAAGUAGUGGUUAAAACAACAAUGAUAUUGUAUCAGCAUUUGCAUGAGUCAGCACUUCAGGAGUGGUUUAGCUGGAUUGUUCUGGCUAAGAGUCUCUUACGGAGUUGCAGUUAGGAUAUAGGCAGAGACUUCUGUCAUCUUCAGGCUUGACUGGGCUUGAAAGGUCUGCUCCUGAACGGUUUACCUAUGUGUCUGUUGGCAGACGAACCCCGUUCCUCACCAUGUAGGCCUCUCCUUAGCUGCUUGGGUGUCCUCAGGACAUCACAGGCAGCCUCAUCUGCUAUGAGUGCUCUGAGAGAAAGUGAAGAGGAAGCCUUUGCCCUUUUAAGCUCUAGUCUCUGAAGUUGUGUACUGUCACUUCCGCCCUAUGCUAUUUUUUAGAAGUGAGUCACUAAGUCUGCUAAAUCAAGGGGGGAGAUUUAGGUUUCAGUCAUUUAUGGAAGAAGAUCAGUGAAUGGGAGCAUAUUUUAAAGCCAAUACAGAAGGUUGAAAUAAUAAGGACAUGAGAAAGGGGCAAGAUAGGGCAGUGCCAGAAUUAUUUAAAUUAUUUAGUUGUGACAUUGUCAAGGGUCUGCAUUCCCUCCACCUUCUGUUCUGCCACGUUUGGUGCCUUGACUUUGUGCUCCAGUUAGACCCACACAGAGUUGCCGGAUGAUUGUGCAAGCAGUGGCUGCCAUAUCCAACCACAACAGCCAGCAGGAAAAACGGUUUUGUCUUUCUUGUGACAUGGUUUUUGAGUAAGGAAACCUUUUCUGGAAGCCCUCAAUGAUUUCCUGUCUUAACUACCUGACCAGAACUGUAUCACCUACUUAAAUCACAGGCAAGAGGAGUGGCUUUGCCAUGACUGGCUUACGUAAAUCGGGAUGCGUUCCUGGGCUAGGGAUCAGGAAGCUUGUCCUCAGGUGGACACUGAAAUAAACUGAGUUUCCUUUGCAAGAAAGAGGGGGAAACACUACUGGGUUGGCAAUAAACUGGUAGUUAACUUUGGAUCCUUGACCUCCUUCCAUGACCGUCUUCUAAUUACCACGCCUUGUGAGCAGGACAACAGCGCCUCUUGUGUGGAAUGUAAAGGAUUAUACUUUAGACAGAAGGUCAAGCCCAGGUAGCCCCUCAGUAACUCUUGAUAUAAUGCUCAUUCUAGUUGAAAGGGGUAAAAAUUCAGAAAAUAUAAUCUCAAAACACAUCUUUAAUAAUAUGCAGUGUUGGUGGCAGAGAGGGGUCAGAUUAAAGUCAUCACUGACAAGGGAAUCAUAUCAUUGUUGGUGAGGUGAAGUGGACUGUUUCUUCUCCUUUUGUCUUAGUGACUGAUAGAGUAAAUUUGUCAUUGUCCUUAUGGGAGUCUAACAUCUAAAGGGAAGUUUGGGGAUGUGUAUUACAAGGUCUAGUAUUGCGUGGAUUGUCGUACAUUUGCUCCCCCGCCUUUUCACACCCUCCCUUUCUUCCACUGCUCUUGCUCAGUCAGAAACUGAGCAGGCCACUGGGGCUGCAGGCCAGUGCUCUGCUCUUGCCUCUCUAUUAUCCUGAGCCCUGCAGAGCUAUUCAGGGUGAUUUCAGCAUCGCUCACCCAAAGGACAUCUCCUCAGCAGGUUGUCAUGUUUCAUCUGUGCUCUGUUUUAGUCAUUUCAUGGAGUUUUUAAAAUUGCUCAACAAUUUCUCAAGACAAAUUCAGGGGAACAGAAGAAAGAAGAAAGAGUAGAAAUAAUCUUCUCUUGGGAGAAAGGCUAAACUUGCUUAGGUACAAAGAUAUUUGAUUAGAUACUUUGCAUUUAGUAGUUUUUUGUUUUUUGUUUUUCCACUCUUUCUCUCACUCUUUCUGCCUUUCUUCCACUUGUUUGGCUUUAAGGGCUCUGAGGGCUUCUGCUUCCCCAUCAUUCAGGGGGCGAGUGAAUGACUGGGAGUGGAAAACUCUGUCUGGCACACAGAAAUUGCCUUGACAAAUUGAAUAACAGCAGAUCCAAGACACAUAAUUAAUUCCUUAAAGACUUUGCCUGAACUGAAAAUGUAUAAAGAUUGGUGUGCAGAUUUCUCAUUUCCUACAGAAUGCUGUGUCAGUCACACACAUGCUAAGAGAAAGAAAGGAAGAUUUCUAUUUAAAAUCAACCUGACAGUGAUUGGGGAAUCUAACUUCAAAGUGUCUAAAUAUUUGUGGCCAGCUCAAGCUCUUCCUUACCAGCUGAAGCUCCCAGGUAAAGAAUCAGCCUGCAAUGCAGGAGACCUGGGUUCAAUCCCUGGGUCAGGAAGAUCCUCUGGUGAAGGGAAUGGCAACCCACUCUAGUAUUUUUGCCUGGAGAUUUCCAUAGACAGAGCAGCCUGGUGGGCUAAAGUCCAUGGGGUAACUCACAAAGAGUUGGACAGGACUGAGUGAUUAACACUUUGUAACCAGCUCCUUAGAUGUGGUGAGGAAAGUCCCUUACUGGAGGCCAGGCCUCUGCAGAGGUGGUGACAGAAGUUGG